rnacentral:rRNA from 1 species
GACGAACGCUGGCGGCGUGCCUAAUACAUGCAAGUAGAACGCUGAAGGAGGAGCUUGCUUCUCUGGAUGAGUUGCGAACGGGUGAGUAACGCGUAGGUAACCUGCCUGGUAGCGGGGGAUAACUAUUGGAAACGAUAGCUAAUACCGCAUAAUAGUAGAUGUUGCAUGACAUUUGCUUAAAAGGUGCAAUUGCAUCACUACCAGAUGGACCUGCGUUGUAUUAGCUAGUUGGUGGGGUAACGGCUCACCAAGGCGACGAUACAUAGCCGACCUGAGAGGGUGAUCGGCCACACUGGGACUGAGACACGGCCCAGACUCCUACGGGAGGCAGCAGUAGGGAAUCUUCGGCAAUGGACGGAAGUCUGACCGAGCAACGCCGCGUGAGUGAAGAAGGUUUUCGGAUCGUAAAGCUCUGUUGUAAGAGAAGAACGAGUGUGGGAGUGGAAAGUUCACACUGUGACGGUAUCUUACCAGAAAGGGACGGCUAACUACGUG